CAGUCGCCACGGGAAUACGAAGGGGGCUAGCGUUACUCGGAAUUACUGGGCGUAAAGGGCGCGUAGGCGGCGCUCCAAGUUAGGCGUGAAAGUCCUGGGCUCAACCUGGGAACUGCGCUUAAGACUGGAGUGCUUGAGGAUGGAAGAGGGUUGUGGAAUUCCCAGUGUAGAGGUGAAAUUCGUAGAUAUUGGGAAGAACACCGGUGGCGAAGGCGGCAACCUGGUCCAUUACUGACGCUGAGGCGCGACAGCGUGGGGAGCAAACAGGAUUAGAUACCCCCGUAGUCCCUGUCUCUUAUAC
rnacentral:rRNA from 1 species